GAGAGAUAGCAUGCGCUUUGUUGAGGUUGUUUUGGUGGAACCAGAUAAGAGUGUGGUUGCUUUAGCUGAUGCGUACUUCUUUCCUCCUUUUCAACCAUCUUUAUUGCCGAGAACAAAAGGUGGGCCUGUAAUUCCCAGUAAACUUCCUCCAAGGAAAGCUAAACUGAUUGUUUAUAACAAGAAAUCAAAUGAGACCAGCAUAUGGAUUGUUGAGCUCUCACAGGUUCAUGCUGUCACUCGAGGAGGCCACCACCGUGGCAAAGUCAUUUCAUCUAAAGUCGUGCCCGAUAUACAGCCACCAAUGGACGCCGUUGAAUAUGCUGAAUGCGAAGCCGUGGUGAAGGAUUUCCCUCCUUUUCGUGAUGCAAUGAAGAAGAGAGGAAUAGAUGAUAUGGAUCUUGUGAUGGUCGAUGCCUGGUGUGCAGGUUACUUCAGUGAUGCUGAUGCACCUAACCGCCGUCUAGGAAAACCUCUUAUCUUUUGUAGAACUGAGAGUGACUGUCCUAUGGAAAAUGGCUAUGCUCGCCCAGUUGAAGGAAUUCAUAUAGUUGUUGAUAUGCAGAAUAUGGUUGUGAUAGAGUUUGAAGAUCGUAAAGUGGUUCCAUUACCACCGGCUGAUCCAUUGAGAAAUUACACUGCCGGUGAAACGAGAGGAGGGGUUGACCGAAGUGAUGUUAAACCACUUCUUAUUGUUCAACCUGAAGGUCCCAGCUUCCGUGUCAAUGGACACUUUGUUGAAUGGCAGAAGUGGAACUUUCGUAUUGGUUUUACCCCCAGGGAGGGCCUGGUUAUCUAUUCUGUUGCGUAUAUUGAUGGUAGCAGAGGCCGUAGACCUGUUGCUCAUAGACUGAGCUUCAUUGAAAUGGUUGUGCCCUAUGGGGAUCCAAAUGAGCCACAUUACAGAAAAAAUGCUUUUGAUGCAGGGGAAGAUGGGCUUGGUAAAAAUGCACAUUCCUUAAAGAAGGGUUGUGAUUGCUUAGGUUACAUUAAAUAUUUCGAUGCGCAUUUUACAAAUUUCACUGGCGGUGUUGAGACAAUUGAAAAUUGUGUCUGUUUACACGAGGAGGAUCAUGGAAUCUUAUGGAAGCAUCAAGAUUGGAGAACUGGUUUAGCUGAAGUACGACGCUCCAGACGGCUAACUGUGUCUUUCAUCUGUACCGUGGCAAACUAUGAAUAUGGAUUUUACUGGCAUUUUUAUCAGGAUGGGAAGAUCGAGGCUGAGGUCAAGCUGACUGGAAUUCUCAGCUUAGGUGCUCUUCUACCAGGGGAAGUUCGAAAAUAUGGAACAACUAUUGCACCUGGCUUGUAUGCACCUGUACAUCAGCACUUCUUUGUGGCUCGCAUGGAUAUGGCUGUUGAUUGCAAAUCAGGGGAAUCACAUAAUCAGGUGGUUGAAGUAAACGCUAGAGUUGAACCACCAGGAGAAAAUAAUGUUCAUAAUAAUGCAUUUUAUGCUGAAGAAAGAUUGCUUAGAACUGAACUGGAAGCAAUGCGUGAUUGUAAUCCUUUAACUGCACGCCAU
rnacentral:misc_RNA from 1 species